rnacentral:rRNA from 1 species
GACGAACGCUGGCGGCGUGCUUAACACAUGCAAGUCGAACGGAAAGGCCCUGCUUUUGUGGGGUGCUCGAGUGGCGAACGGGUGAGUAACACGUGAGUAACCUUCCCUUGUCUUUGUGAUAACUUCAGGAAACUGGUGCUAAUACCGGAUAGGUUCUCCUGCUGCUUGGUGGGGGUUGGAAAGUUUCGGCGGUUGGGGAUGGACUCGCGGCUUAUCAGCUUGUUGGUGGGGUAGUGUCUUACCAAGGCUUUGACGGGUAGCCGGCAUGAGAGGGUGACCGGCGACAAGGGGAAUGAGAGACGGAGCAGACGCGAACGGGAGGCAGCAGUGGGGAAUAUUGCACAAUGGGAGGAAGCGUGAUGAAGAAAAGGCGCGAGCGGGAUGAAGGCCUUCGGGUUGUAAAACGAUUUAGACUGAGAAGAAGAGUGAGUGACGGUAAUGGGUAAAGAAGCACCGGCUAACUACGUG